GUGCUUUCAGUAUUCCAGUCUUUCUCAAUUAAUCACUUUAAAAUAUUGACAAAUGACUUGAGAAAAUUUUCUUUAUCCAUUGCUGUGAGGGAACAUAGUAAGUAUUGGAAGUUACUCAGAACCAGUUUCUUGGCCAGGGAAAUUAAAAGCUGCUUAAAUCUGUAUGUGAAUUUGGGAUCUUUUUUUUUUUUUAAUUUUAUUUUCAUUAGCUACCAAUGGAACAUUUCUAGGACGAUGUUAUUUCUGUAAAGUCACAUUCAUGCUGAGGAUAACUUCUGUUGCAUUUGCUUGGUGUUCUGUACCUUGGAUGGCAGUGGAGAAAACACACAUACCUGAGAAAUUAAGCCUUAACUGAUGAACUUGCUUUAAAAAAAGAAUCACUCUUCUCUUCAGGCAGGUGUGCUGUCCAUUUUCACUUGAUUCCCAUUUCCUUAGUCUUCCAGUUCUUUGAUAGCUAGUGUUUGGUCUGAGAAACUGAGGAUUAGAGUUAGUAUGUUUUUAAGUAAUGUGUCUUCUGUUUUGUGUGACUUGUAGGUGAUGCUGUAAAUGAUAGCUAUUCUGUUCUUUCAGCACUACAAAAGAGGCAUUCUGGCAGUGCUGCAGCUGGUUCUACUUUUCACUUUGGAAAUACUUGCAUAUCAGUUUUUCCUUGAGAGAUGAAGAGUUCCUUCUGAGACUAUGCAAGACCACUUUAUGCACACAGUGAGCUUUGCUAAUGUUGUCUGUCUGGAAAACUGCCUCCCCUCCCUGUUUCUCCCAGCAUAUAAUUUAAAUUGCAAUGGACCAUAUAAUGAGCUUUGUUGGGAUAGUUGCUUUAAAGUUUAGUGAUGUUCUAUUGAAUUUGGAAACGGUCUGUAGUAUACUUACCUGAUAUUUUCUGGGGCCAGCUGAAUUUAAAAUGAACAAAAAGUACAUAAAAUAUGAGUCCACUAAGUAUAAAUAAAACACAGUACAAAUAUGCCAGUUCAGGUGCACUGAUGAUUGGUAUCAGUACCAGUAAAAUGGAGAUUAAUGUCACUAUGACUGGAAUGACAAUGGUAUCUGCAAGAUAAAGAUAAAAAAAAUAAGUAAAAGCACAAUUAUUUAGCUAAUUGUUUUACUGUUCUUACAGAAGUUGCAUAUGUGAAACGUAGUUUCAUUGUCUUAGGAUGUUUUUCCUUUUAAAAUUUCUGGAAUUAGAUGGGACAAUUGCGAAAGUAGGAAGAAAUAGAUGGGAAAAAGUUUUCUGUUGAAUUUUUAAUAAAGGUCUCUGUCUUUAUUGCAAAUAGCAAUGUAGUAAUUCAUAUACAGUUUAAUGAAUUUGAGACCUGACUCCAGUACAGUGAAGUUUGGGUCUAUCUCCAGGUACUCUUUCAGAGGUAGUCUGCUGACUGUAGUUCCCCAUCCCUGAAAAUCUGCCACAGUUUCUGCCCAUCAUCUGUGUGAGUGAAAAUAAACAUUGCCUGGGCUUUUCCCAGUCUUUGAGCUUUGUCAUAGUGCAAAACUUG